CUACGUGCCAGCAGCCGCGGUAAUACGUAGGUGGCAAGCGUUGUCCGGAAUUAUUGGGCGUAAAGCGCGCGCAGGCGGAUUGGUCAGUCUGUCUUAAAAGUUCGGGGCUUAACCCCGUGAUGGGAUGGAAACUACUCAUCUUGAGUGCAGGAGAGGAAAGCGGAAUUCCUAGUGUAGCGGUGAAAUGCGUAGAUAUUAGGAAGAACACCAGUGGCGAAGGCGGCUUUCUGGACUGUAACUGACGCUGAGGCUCGAAAGCCAGGGGAGCGAACGGGAUUAGAUACCCCGGUAGUCCACGCCGUAAACGAUGAGUGCUAGGUGUUAGACCCUUUCCGGGGUUUAGUGCCGUAGCUAACGCAUUAAGCACUCCGCCUGGGGAGUACGACCGCAAGGUUGAAACUCAAAGGAAUUGACGGGGGCCCGCACAAGCGGUGGAGCAUGUGGUUUAAUUCGAAGCAACGCGAAGAACCUUACCAGGUCUUGACAUCCC
rnacentral:rRNA from 1 species